AUCAAUCCUUAUUUGAUACAACAGGAAUAUAUACACAAUAUUUAUAUUUCGGUUUUUUAUAUAAUUUUCUUCUCUUCACAUAGCAGCCCACGAUUUAUCAAUCACCACUGGGCACAGCUUAGCCCUGAGUUUUUCAUAAAUUUUUAGUAUAAAUUUAACACACGGAUAGUUCAUAACGUUUUCCUAUGAAAGAAUAAUAUAUAUAUAUAUUUUUUUUUGUAAGUCUGAACUUUUCUUUUUAGAUGCUUUCACUUUAAGUCGAACUGCUACAACUGAGCACAAUCAGAAUGGCAGCUUGAGUUUAACUUCACAAAGAUCGCAAAGACCUGGGCUUGAUCUUUAUGAAACGAGAGUAAAUCCAAUUGGCCGACUCGAUUUCUAUCAAAGGUGAACGAGCUAGCUGCAAUUAUAUAGAAUCUACCUUAAUUCGCAAAUGGGGGGCGCAUCAAGAGGGCACAGAGACAACCGUAAUUCUUACAAGCUGCGAGCUACUGAUACCUGAAGAAGAAGAAGAAGAAGAAGAAUUCUAAUCGCCAUAAAAUUGAACUAGCAAUCGCUGUUCUGUUUAUGCCUAGUUGGAUAUAAAUCUGUACGUCUGUCCAUUCGAAGCAAUGCCCUUCACUAUCGACAAUAAGCCGCUCAAAUAACGAAUGCUACUCAAAGCGCAUUCAAAUGUAAAGCAAGACGCUCGAUCUUUGCAUUGCUGAGAAUAUUUUUCAAAAUUCAUUGUUAUUUUUAUUGUUAGCAUUAUUUUCACACUAAGACGUCCACUACUACACAUGAAUAAAAAUUAAAAGAAUAA